rnacentral:rRNA from 1 species
GACGAACGCUGGCGGCGUGCUUAACACAUGCCAGUCGAACGGAAAGGCCUGCUUUCCCUUGUGGAUUGCGGGUACUCGAGUGGCGAACGGGUGAGUAACACGUGAGUGAUCUGCCCCCAACUUGGGUAUAAGCCUGGGAAACUGGGUCUAAUUCCCGAUAGGACUGCAGGGUGGUGCCUGUGGUGGAAAACGAUUUUCUAGUGGUUGGGGAUGAGCUCGCGGCCUAUCAGCUUGUUGGUGGGGUAAUGGCCUACCAAGGCGGCGACGGGUAGCCGGCCUGAGAGGGUGGACGGCGACAUUGGGACUGAGAUACGGCCCAGACUCCUACGGGAGGCAGCAGUGGGGAAUAUUGCACAAUGGGCGGAAGCCUGAUGCAGCGACGCCGCGUGGGGGAUGACGGCCUUCGGGUUGUAAACUCCUUUCGACCGCGAGGAAGCCACCUGGUUGGAAGGGUGGUGACGGUAGUGGUAGAAGAAGCACCGGCUAACUACGUG